rnacentral:rRNA from 1 species
UACGUAGGGGGCUAGCGUUGUCCGGAAUCAUUGGGCGUAAAGAGCGUGUAGGCGGCUUUACAGGUCCGUUGUGAAAACUCGAGGCUCAACCUCGAGACGCCGGUGGAAACCGUAAGGCUAGAGUCCGGAAGAGGAGAGUGGAAUUCCUGGUGUAGCGGUGAAAUGCGCAGAUAUCAGGAGGAACACCCGUGGCGAAAGCGGCUCUCUGGGACGGUACUGACGCUGAGACGCGAAAGCGUGGAGAGCAAACAGG